AUUGAACGCUGGCGGCAUGCCUUACACAUGCAAGUCGAACGGUAACGGGCCUUCGGGUGCCGACGAGUGGCGAACGGGUGAGUAAUGUAUCGGAACGUACCUUUCAGUGGGGGAUAACGUAGCGAAAGUUACGCUAAUACCGCAUAUUCUGUGAGCAGGAAAGCAGGGGAUCGCAAGACCUUGCGCUGAUUGAGCGGCCGAUAUCAGAUUAGCUAGUUGGUGAGGUAAAGGCUUACCAAGGCGACGAUCUGUAGCGGGUCUGAGAGGAUGAUCCGCCACACUGGAACUGAGACACGGUCCAGACUCCUACGGGAGGCAGCAGUGGGGAAUUUUGGACAAUGGGCGCAAGCCUGAUCCAGCCAUGCCGCGUGAGUGAAGAAGGCC
rnacentral:rRNA from 1 species